rnacentral:misc_RNA from 1 species
CGAAAUGCGAUAAGUAAUGUGAAUUGCAGAAUUCAGUGAAUCAUCGAAUCUUUGAACGCACCUUGCGCUCCUUGGUAUUCCUUGGAGCAUGCCUGUUUGAGUAUCAUGAAAUCUUCAAAGUAAAUCUUUUGUUAACUCAAUUGGUUUCUACUUUGGUAUUGGAGGUCUUUGCAGCUUCACACCUGCUCCUCUUUGUUCAUUAGCUGGAUCUCAGUGUUAUGCUUGGUUCCACUCGGCGUGAUAAGUUAUCUAUCGCUGAGGACACUGUAAAGGGUGGCCAAGGUAAAUGCAGAUGAACCGCUUCUAAUAGUCCAUUGACUUGGACAAUACUUUUAUGAUCUGAUCUCAAAUCAGGUAGGACUACCCGCUGAACUUAAGC